CGGAGAAGGUUAGCUCGGCCAUCUGUUGGAAUAGGUGGUUUAAGCGUGUAGUCGUGCCGCGUAGGCAAAUCCGCGUGGCUUAGAUGAGGCGUGAUGACGAGGAUCCUCGGAUCCGAAGCGAGUGAUACCCAGCUUCCAGGAAAAGCCUCUAAGCUUCAGUCUAAGAGUGACCGUACCGCAAACCGACACAGGUGGGCUGGUAGAGAAUACCAAGGCGCUUGAGAGAACUCAGGAGAAGGAACUCGGCAAAUUGAUACCGUAACUUCGGGAGAAGGUAUGCCCCUGGUACGUGAAGGCCCUCGCGGCCGGAGCGGAACGGGGUCGCAGAGAAUCGGUGGCUGCGACUGUUUAUUAAAAACACAGCACUCUGCAAACACGAAAGUGGACGUAUAGGGUGUGACGCCUGCCCGGUGCCGGAAGGUUAAGUGAUGGGGAUG
rnacentral:rRNA from 1 species